UACGGGGGGGGGAAGCGUUGUUCGGAAUUACUGGGCGUAAAGGGCUCGUAGGCGGCCAACUAAGUCGGAUGUGAAAUCCCCAGGCUCAACCUGGGAACUGCAUCCGAUACUGGAUGGCUUGAAUCCGGGAGAGGGAUGCAGAAUUCCAGGUGUAGCGGUGAAAUGCGUAGAUAUCUGGAGGAAUACCGGUGGCGAAGGCGGCAUCCUGGACCGGCAUUGACGCUGAGGAGCGAAAGCCAGGGGAGCAAACGGG
rnacentral:rRNA from 1 species